rnacentral:rRNA from 1 species
GAUGAACGCUGGCGGCGUGCCUAAUACAUGCAAGUCGAGCGAACGGACGAGAAGCUUGCUUCUCUGAUGUUAGCGGCGGACGGGUGAGUAACACGUGGAUAACCUACCUAUAAGACUGGGAUAACUUCGGGAAACCGGAGCUAAUACCGGAUAAUAUUUUGAACCGCAUGGUUCAAAAGUGAAAGACGGUCUUGCUGUCACUUAUAGAUGGAUCCGCGCUGCAUUAGCUAGUUGGUAAGGUAACGGCUUACCAAGGCAACGAUGCAUAGCCGACCUGAGAGGGUGAUCGGCCACACUGGAACUGAGACACGGUCCAGACUCCUACGGGAGGCAGCAGUAGGGAAUCUUCCGCAAUGGGCGAAAGCCUGACGGAGCAACGCCGCGUGAGUGAUGAAGGUCUUCGGAUCGUAAAACUCUGUUAUUAGGGAAGAACAUAUGUGUAAGUAACCGUGCACAUCUUGACGGUACCUAAUCAGAAAGCCACGGCUAACUACGUGCCAGCAGCCGCGGUAAUACGUAGGUGGCAAGCGUUAUCCGGAAUUAUUGGGCGUAAAGCGCGCGUAGGCGGUUUUUUAAGUCUGAUGUGAAAGCCCACGGCUCAACCGUGGAGGGUCAUUGGAAACUGGAAAACUUGAGUGCAGAAGAGGAAAGUGGAAUUCCAUGUGUAGCGGUGAAAUGCGCAGAGAUAUGGAGGAACACCAGUGGCGAAGGCGACUUUCUGGUCUGUAACUGACGCUGAUGUGCGAAAGCGUGGGGAUCAAACAGGAUUAGAUACCCUGGUAGUCCACGCCGUAAACGAUGAGUGCUAAGUGUUAGGGGGUUUCCGCCCCUUAGUGCUGCAGCUAACGCAUUAAGCACUCCGCCUGGGGAGUACGACCGCAAGGUUGAAACUCAAAGGAAUUGACGGGGACCCGCACAAGCGGUGGAGCAUGUGGUUUAAUUCGAAGCAACGCGAAGAACCUUACCAAAUCUUGACAUCCUUUGACAACUCUAGAGAUAGAGCCUUCCCCUUCGGGGGGGCAAAGUGACAGGUGGUGCAUGGUUGUCGUCAGCUCGUGUCGUGAGAUGUUGGGUUAAGUCCCGCAACGAGCGCAACCCUUAAGCUUAGUUGCCAUCAUUAAGUUGGGCACUCUAAGUUGACUGCCGGUGACAAACCGGAGGAAGGUGGGGAUGACGUCAAAUCAUCAUGCCCCUUAUGAUUUGGGCUACACACGUGCUACAAUGGACAAUACAAAGGGCAGCGAAACCGCGAGGUCAAGCAAAUCCCAUAAAGUUGUUCUCAGUUCGGAUUGUAGUCUGCAACUCGACUACAUGAAGCUGGAAUCGCUAGUAAUCGUAGAUCAGCAUGCUACGGUGAAUACGUUCCCGGGUCU